AUGACACGUGUUGACACUGUAGUACAGUAUUUAUGUGUGCUGGUGUCUUGUUGCAGGAGGCUGAAUGUGGUCUGGAUGUCCAGCUGCUGCAGCUCUGAUGAUAAGGUAAAUGUUCAAAGAUCUGGAAGGUCGAUCAAGAUUCGGGAUCGUCCUGUUGUGGGAAAGCUGUGUGAAGCUCUACGGAAAUAAAGUUCUCCUGCCUUUAUGUAAAUUUGAGUACUCCACUUUCAGUGCUCGCUGUUAAGUUUAUACAUUUAAGUUUAUUUAUUUUCCUCCCUUCAGUAAAAACUUGGGCUGUUCUUUAAAAAUAAAAAUAUAACCCUCUAAAAAGUGUGCUUGUCUUGGCCUUUCCUGUAACGUGUCUGCUAGGCUUCAGGUUUGAAUAAUGCUGGAGUGAAUACUGAGAUGUCUCCCUAUACUGUAAUUAUUUACAAAUUGGCAAAAGGAAAUUUGGAGAGAAUGGCUAUGCAUGUGUUCAUAUUUGAUCUGCAUUAAUCAUGGCUUUGUGUAUUCUGGUUUUCACCCUAACGGAUUAUACAUGCCUGGUGUUUGAUUAGCUGGAGUGUAAUCCCAAUUUUCAAUUUUUUUUUGGAAUAUCUCAAAGGAAGAUUUGAGAUGUAUUAAUAUUUCACAAAUAUACAUCAAAAGCUGUUAUGUGAGUUUAAGAUGUUUUACUCCAAUGGAUCCAGUUUCUACUGUGAGUCAGUGGCACAGGGACAUACAUAUAUAAAUAUACUUAUGGAAUGUCUGAGCUUUAUAAGGGAAGUUAAGCUUUAGCUGUUGUAUCCCAGCUAACAUUGCAGUUUCAAAAAAAACCCAAGAAAUUGUGUUUCUAGCUUGCAUCCUCUUGGAACAUUUUCGGUGGCCCCUAUGUUGGGCAAUGUUACAAACUUUAUUUUUGUCAGAAAUGGGGCUAAUUAGUGAUUGUAGAUGAACAAUGCUGAGCCAUUUGUAUAGUAUGUUGUAUCAUGUAUGUGUUCUGUGUUUGUUUCUGUUAUAAAGAAACGAGAGCGUUAUAAAUGUUGCAUUUUUUGAGAAUCGCCUUAAAAUUUGGUUUAUUACUUGAGAAUUUGCACUUAUGUAAAUGUUAUCGCUAGUUAGGAUAUAUACCAAAGUCGUUUGUGAUUACUGAAUGAGCAAUUAUUUAUAGUUUGUAAAAAAAUUAAAUCAUUCGAUUUAAAAGAUUAAACACAAAAACGAACGUGACACAAAAGAAAAAAACAAAAACGUUGAUGUACUGGGUCCAUGAUUCAGCUUAAUGAGCUCCGAGUGGAAUAGCAAUUUUAUUUAAUUACAUUUUGUAAAACGCACGAUUUCUUACACACAGAUAAGACACGAUACAAAGUAUAGAGUAAAAUAGCCUAAAUCAAUAACGACAUCACCAAACACAGUCGGUGGCCCCUGGAGUUUGGCCCCGAGGUCACGUGACGCGCUCCAGUAACGUGACUGUCUGGAGAAACGGGAAGUUCGUGAUUCUCUCAGCUGUUACAACUUCAUUCUUUCCAGAAGACACGCCGCGCGCUCCGUUAGAAAACAUUCAUAUCCAGACGGUAAACGUGAACCCCUGUCGCUGUCGGUGUCGGUGUGUUAUCAUCCGGUAAGUUCAUAGAUAGCUGUUUACGCUGGUGGUUUAUUCUGCUCCUUACAUUGUUUGAUGCAUAUUCUGACUGUAAACUUGUUUCUGUUAU
rnacentral:lncRNA from 1 species